CUGCUCAGAAUUAUUUACACCGGAUCCGAACUUGAGAAUUGGGAUUACGGAGGAACUCAAAUAGCUAUAUGGUAAUAAUGUCAUCAUAACUUCAACAGAUAUGUAUUGAGAAUCCUAGUACUAGACACUGAGAAGUCCAGCUGUGAACAAGGUAUAUGUGGUUUCUGCCUUUCUGAAUCUUAAGUCUAGUAGACUGCAUAGAUAUUUUGAACAGUAAUUGCCUAGGUGCUUGCUGAUGAGUUUUGCAACACCUGAAGAACGAAGUAACUGGGUGUCAAGGAAAGCCAGUUGACCUGUAAGAAGAGAUGUGGGCGGG
rnacentral:lncRNA from 1 species